CCUACGGGUGGCAGCAGUGAGGAAUAUUGGUCAAUGGGCGCGAGCCUGAACCAGCCAAGUCGCGUGAGGGAAGACGGUCCUAUGGAUUGUAAACCUCUUUUGUCGGGGAGCAAAAGACGCCACGCGUGGCGUUCCGAGAGUACCCGAAGAAAAAGCAUCGGCUAACUCCGUGCCAGCAGCCGCGGUAAUACGGAGGAUGCGAGCGUUAUCCGGAUUUAUUGGGUUUAAAGGGUGCGCAGGCGGAAGAUCAAGUCAGCGGUAAAAUGGAGAGGCUCAACCUCUUCGAGCCGUUGAAACUGGUUGUCUUGGGUGAGCGGGAAGUAUGGGGGAUGGGUGGUGGAGCGGUGAAAUGCA
rnacentral:rRNA from 1 species